CUUUCUCGACGUUGCUUGACGAACAUCUCUCUGAUGAUUCUCAUUGGCCAAAUGACUGCAUUUCCACUGGCAAAUUACGAGGACGUGUGCGCACACGAUGAACCGGAUUGGCUUACGGCGAGGUGAAGAGGCGUUAUGGAUGGCGUCGGUGGAUCUUGUCGGGUUGAUGGUGAGGACGGUGCGGUUAUUGCGUGUAUCGCCGAGUUCCCGAGCACCGUGUCAUGAAGAAGAGUCUCGAGAACGGGCUCAUUACCUCCUGCGACCGCGUAAUGAACCGAAGUGAAUCCUCGCUUGUCUCGAAUCUGAGGAUCGGCACGAUGAGCCAGUAAAUAUUUGACGCAUCUGCAAGAAGAAAGGAAUUGAAAAAUUUUUCCUGAAUGGAAUCGAGCACGGUUUUGAUUCACGAAAACCCCUCAAGGGGCCAUUUAAUAAUAGGCUGCAGUACCCGUGGAUAGUUAAAGUAAAACUACCCACUGUCCAUUAUCGUCCGAUCUGCUGGGUGCCGCAGCUGCCAAAUGAAGCGAUGUCGCACCAUUUAUAUCUUGCGCGUUAGGAUCGCUCCCGUAACCAACAAGGGUAAAUACACACAAAUAACGUCCUUGGCUAGCAGCGUAAUGCAGCGCCAGUCUAUUGUCGUUAUCGGAGAGCCGAAAAUUCGCACCGCUCGAUAGUAAUAAAUCUAGACAACCGACGGAACCCUGAGAAAUAAAAUGUUUCAUUAGAAUAUUAAUUUUUCGAAAGUUUUGAAUUUUUUUUUUAUAACACGCGAUCAAUAUUCCAUCACUUUUAACCGUGGAGCAAAAUAUUCUACUGAAAUUCAUCUACCGAAUAAAACAUUCAUUUUCAAUGUAAAUAUAUUGAAACCAAUAAAAAUGCGACGAGACGUGAA
rnacentral:lncRNA from 1 species